GACGAACGCUGGCGGCGUGCUUAACACAUGCAAGUCGAACGGAAAGGCCCUGCUUUUGUGGGGUGCUCGAGUGGCGAACGGGUGAGUAACACGUGAGUAACCUGCCCUUGACUUUGGGAUAACUUCAGGAAACUGGGGCUAAUACCGGAUAGGAGCUCCUGCUGCAUGGUGGGGGUUGGAAAGUUUCGGCGGUUGGGGAUGGACUCGCGGCUUAUCAGCUUGUUGGUGGGGUAGUGGCUUACCAAGGCUUUGACGGGUAGCCGGCCUGAGAGGGUGACCGGCCACCUUGGGACUGCGAUACGGCCCAGAAUCCUACGGGAGGCAGCAGUGGGGAAUAUUGCACAAUGGGCGGAAGCCUGAUGCAGCAACGCCGCGUGCGGGAUGACGGCCUUCGGGUUGUAAACCGCUUUCGCCUGUGACGAAGCGUGAGUGACGGUAAUGGGUAAAGAAGCACCGGCUAACUACGUG
rnacentral:rRNA from 1 species